UGGGAACGUGCCCAAAGGUACGGAACAACUCCGGGAAACUGGAGCUAAUACCGUAUGUGCCCGAAAGGGGAAAGAUUCAUCGCCUUUGGAUCGGCCCGCGUCUGAUUAGCUAGUUGGCGGGGUAAUGGCCCACCAAGGCGACGACGGGUAGCCGGCCUGAGAGGGCGACCGGCCACACUGGGACUGAGACACGGCCCAGACUCCUACGGGAGGCAG
rnacentral:rRNA from 1 species